rnacentral:lncRNA from 1 species
UUUUUAUUUUUUUAUUCAUGAGAGACACAGAGAGAGAGGCAGAGAUAUAGGCAGAAGGAGAAGCAGACUCCCUGCCAGGAGUUCGAUGCAGGACUCAAUUCCAGGACCCUGGGAUCACACCCUGAGCUAAAGGCAGAUGCUCAAUCACUGAGCCACCCAGGUGUCCCUGACAAGUUCUUUACAGACCUUGGACAGUACCCCUUUAUCUGAUAUGUCAUUUGCAAAUAUCUUCUCCCAUUCCAUAGGUCUUUUAGUUUUGAUGACUGUUUCCUUUUGCUAUGCAAAAGCUUUUUAUCUUGAUGAAGUCCUAAUAGUUCAUUUUUGCUUUUGUUUCCAUGGCCUUUGGAGACGUGUCUAGCAAGAAGUUGCUGCAGCCAAAGAUGAAAAGGUUGCUGCCUAUAUUCUCCUCCAUGAUUUUGAUUGAUUCCUGUCUCACAGUUAGCUCUUUCACCCAUUCUGAGUUUAUCUGUGUGUAUGGCAUAAGAAAAUGGUCUUCUGCAUGUGGCUGUCCGAUUUUCCUGACACCAUUUGUUGAAGAGACUUUUUUCCAUUGGAUAUUCUUUCCUGCUUUGUCAAAGAUUAGUUGACCAUAGACUUGAGGGUCCAUUUCUGAGUUCUCUAUUCUGUUCCACUGAUUUAUGUGUCUGUUUUUGUGCCAGUACCAUACUAUCUCGAGCAGUCUACACAUUCAAUGCAAUCCCUACCAAAUACCACCAAUAUUUUUCACAGAACUGGAACAAAUCCUAAAAUAUGUAUGGAACCAGAAAAUACCCCAAUUAGCCAGAGGAAUGCUGAAAAAGGAAACUAGAGCUUGGGGCAUCACAAUUCUGGACUUCAAGCUACACACUAAAGCUGUAAUAUGAAGUAGAUAUUUUCUAGAGUAUUAUUUUAGUUCCUUGUUUGAUUUUUUUUACUUUAUCUUUUAAGUUAUUUUUAAGUCUUUUAAAUUGUCUUCUAAGUCAGAAAAAAAAACAUAUACUGUCUUUUGUAUUUACCUACAUAAUUAAUUACAGGUACUCUGUUUCUUCAUGUGAAUUCAAGUUAUCAUCUGGUGUCAUUCCUUUCCAACACAAAGGAUUUUCUUUACUAUUUCUGAUAAGGCAGGUCUGCUGGAAACAAGUUCUCUCAGCCUUUGUUUAUCUGAAAAUAUCUUUAUUCACCUUCUUUUAUGAAGAAUAAUUUUGCUCUAUAUGGAAUUCUUAGUUGAUAGGUUUUUGUCUUUCAUCACUUUGAAUAUGUCAUUAUAUUGCCUCUGGCCUCUGUUGACCUUGAUGAGACGUCACUUAUUAAUCCUACUCUGGUUCUUCUGUAUGUAAUGAGUUGUUUUACUCUUGCUCCUCUUAAAUUGUUUGUGUUGCGUUUUUAACUAUUUGACUAUGAUGUGUCUAAAUAUGGAUUUCUUUGUGUGAAUUUAUCCUACUUGUAGUUCACUGAGCUUCUUGGAUAUGUAGAAUAAUUUUUUAAUUAAAUUGGGAAAGUUGUGGGCUGUUAAUCCUUCAAAUGUUGUUUCUUCCCCCUUUCUCUCUCUCAUCUUUUUUCUGAGACCCGCAUUAAGUAUGAAUUGAUAUGUUUAAUAGUCACCUGCAAGUUCUUUUUCCUUUAUUUUUCUUCCUGUUUCAAAAUUGGAUAAUUGCUAUUUAUCUAUCUUGAAGUUUACUAAUUCUUUCUUCUAAUGUCUUAAAUUGGCUCUUGAGUGUUCUUAGUGAACUUUCUUCUUCCACUAUUGAAUUUUUCAACUCCAGAAUUCCCAUGUUUCUUUUUUAAAAAUAAUUUCUCUUUGUUGAUAUUCUAUAUUUACUGAGUCAUUGUCAAUAUGCUUUCCUUUAAUUUUUCAAAUGUGGUUUCUUUUAGCUCUAACAUUUAUAUUAGCUAUUUUGAAGUCUUUUUCUACUUUAAACAGCCGCCUCAGAGAUAGUUUCUAUUGACUACUAUUUUUUCCUAUAUCUAUAGGUCACAUUUUCCUACUUCUUUUCACGUCUCAUAAUUUCUUGAUUGAAAAAUUGACAGUUUAGAUAACAUGUACCAGGAAUAAUAUUUUAAAUGCUUUUCAUAUUACUUUAUAAAAUUAAUUAUUUGAUUAUUUGGUUGUUAAGCAUUUUACACUUAGUUAAAACAGUUUUUCCUCUAUUGUAAAUAUCAUGAUAAAGAAUUAAUGAGACAAAACAUCUAACUUCUUUUUAAAAAAAAUUAUGUUUUCUUUGAUUUAUAUAAAAUAGAAGUAAAUCAAAGGGCACCUGGGUGGGUGGUGCAGUCAGUUAAGUGUCUGACUCUUGGUUUUGGCUCAGGUCAUGAUCUUAGAGUCAUGACAUUGAGCCCCAUGGAGUUUGCCUGGGAUUCUCUCUCCCUCUCCCUCUGCCCCUCUGGCCUGUGUACUCU